GGUAAUUGAGAUCCUUGAGGGGCCGCGGGGCACUGCUGAAAUCACUGUGCAUGAGCUGGUAAUGCAGAGCUGCUGCUGAAGCCCAAAGCACAGUGUGAAGGUGUGUCUGUGAGGCAGAGCUGUGCAGUGCUGGGGCAUCUCACUGGAGUGCAGUGCUGGAUCUGAAGCAGACCAGGAGCUGAGAAUAAAGAUCUUGUGGGAAACAGGGCAAGAGCUGAAAUCACUGCUGUGUGCUUUCUAGGACGUUUUUGGGGAAAACAUUGCAAGAGCUGAAAUCAUGCACAUGAGUUGGAAAUAAAGCGUCAUGGGGGCACAAAGGGGGAGCUCUGACAGAAUGCAACGUGUGUUUGAAAUAAAGAUUGAGGGGGGAAAUGCGGAGCAUGCACUGACAGUGAAGAGCUGCUGCAGGAACCCACAGCACAGGGCAUGGAGGUGUGUCUGUGCCAGAGCUGUACAAAGCUGGAGCACAGCCACAGUGUGCAGUGCUGGAGCUGAAGCCGACAAACAGCUGAGAAUAAAGAUCUUGUGGGAAACGAGGCAAGAGCUGAAAUCACUGGUGUGUGAUUAUUAUAUAGCACUGGGGAGAAACAGGGCAAGACAUGAGCUGGCCAUUAAGAUACUUGAUGGGCCGAGGGGCAGAGCUGAAAUCACUGUGCAUGAGCUGGUAAUGCAGAGCUGCUGCUGGAACGCACAGCACAGUGUGAAGGUGUGUCAGUGAUGCAGAGCUGUGCAGUGCUGGGCAUCUCACUGGAGUGCAGUGCUGGAGCUGAAGCAGACCAGGAGCUGAGAAUAAAGAUCUUGUGGGAAACAGGGCAAGAGCUGAAAUCACUGCUGUGUGCUUUCUAGAACGUUUUUGGGGAAAACAUUGCAAGAGCUGAAAUCAUGCGCAUGAGUUGGAAAUAAAGCGUCAUGGGGGCACAAAGGGGGAGCUCUGACAGAAUGCAACGUGUGUUGGUAAUAAAGAUUGAGGGGGGAAACGCAGAGCAUGCACUGACAGUGCAGAGCUGCUGCUGGAACCCACAGCACCGGGCAUGGAGGUGUCUGAGCCAGAGCUGUGUGCAGCCCGAGCAUACCCAGAAAGUGCAUAGCUGGAGCUGAAACACAGGGAGCUGAGAAUAAAGAUGUGAACAGAAACUGCAAGAGCUGAAAUCACUGGUGUGAGUUUGUUAUAGAACUUCAUAGUGGAAACGGGACAUGCCCUGAAAUCAUGGGUGUGAGCUGGAAAUAAAGACUGAGUGGGAAACAUGGGGCAAGAGCUGAGAGUGCAGAGCUGCUGCUGAAUCCCACAGCACAGUGUGAAGGUGCAUCUGUGACACAGCUGUGCAGUGCUGGGGCAUCUCACUGGGGUGCAGUGCUGGAGCUGAAGCAGACCAGGAGCUGAGAAUAAAGAUCUUGUGGGAAACAGGGCAAGAGCUGAAAUCACUGCUGUGUGCUUUCUAGAACGUUUUUGGGGAAAACAUUGCAAGAGCUGAAAUCAUGCACAUGAGCUGGAAAUAAAGCGUCAUGGGGGCACAAAGGGGGGGCUCUGACAGAAUGCAACGUGUGUUGGAAAUAAAGAUUGAGGGGGGAAACGCGGAGCAUGCACUGACAGUGCAGAGCUGCUGCAGGAACCCACAGCACCGGGCAUGGAGGUGUCUGGGCCAGAGCUGUGUGCAGCCCGAGCAUACCCAGAGUGCACAGAGCUGGAGCUGAAACACAGGGAGCUGAGAAUAAAGAUCUUUUUAGAAACGAGGCAAGAGCUGAAAUGACUGGUGUGUGUUUACUAUGUAGUAGAGGGAGGUAAUAGGGCAAGACAUGAGCUGGCGAUUGAGAUCUCUGAGGGGCCGCGGGGCACUGCUGAAAUCACUGAACAUGAGCUGGUAAUGCAGAGCUGCUGCUGGGACCCACAGCACAGUGUGAUGGUGCGUCUGUGAUGCAGAGCUGUGCAGUGCUGGGGCAUCUCACUGGAGUGCAGUGCCUGAGCUGAAGCAGACCAGGAGCUGAGAAUAAAGAUCUUGUGGGAAACGAAGCAAGAGCUGAAAUCACUGGUGUGAGCUUUCUAUAAUGUUUUGGGGGAAAACAUUGCAAGAGCCGAAAUCAUGCACAUGAGUUGGAAAUAAAGCGUCAUGGGGGCACAAAGGGGGAGCUCUGACAGAAUACAACGUGUGUUGG
rnacentral:lncRNA from 7 species